rnacentral:rRNA from 1 species
UACAGAGGGUGCGAGCGUUGUCCGGAAUCACUGGGCGUAAAGGGCGCGUAGGCGGUGUCGUAAGCGUGCGGUGAAAGCUCGGGGCUCAACUCCGAGUCGGCCGUGCGAACUGCGGCACUCGAGCACGGUAGAGGCGAGUGGAAUUCCGGGUGUAGCGGUGGAAUGCGUAGAGAUCCGGAAGAACACCGGUGGCGAAGGCGGCUCGCUGGGCCGUUGCUGACGCUGAGGCGCGACAGCGUGGGGAGCAAAC